rnacentral:rRNA from 1 species
GAACGCUGGCGGCGUGCCUAACACAUGCAAGUCGAACGCUGAAGCACGGAAUCUUCGGAUUCUGUGUGGAGGCGUGGCGCACGGGUGAGUAUCGCGUGGCUAACCUGCCCUCGAGUGGGGAAUAACACCGGGAAACUGGUGCUAAUACCGCAUAACCUUCCACUGUCAUAAGUCAGUGGAAGCAAUGACUUCGGUCGCUUGAGGAGGGGGCCGCGUUCGAUCAGCUUGUUGGUGAGGUAACGGCUCACCAAGGCUGAGACCGAUAGCCGGUCUGAGAGGAUGAUCGGCCACACUGGAACUGAGACACGGUCCAGACUCCUACGGGAGGCAGCAGUGAGGAAUAUUGCGCAAUGGGGGAAACCCUGACGCAGCGACGCCGCGUGGAGGAUGAAGGCCCUCGGGUCGUAAACUCCUUUCGCCAGGGACGAAAGGCUCUUCGGAGUUUGACGGUACCUGGAUAAGAAGCCCCGGCUAACUACGUGCCAGCAGCCGCGGUAAUACGUAGGGGGCAAGCGUUGCUCGGAAUCACUGGGCGUAAAGGGUCUGUAGGCGGUUGGGCAAGUUGGUUGUGAAAUCUCCCGGCUUAACUGGGAGGCUGCGACCAAAACUGCUCGACUUGAGGGUCGGAGAGGCAGGUAGAAUUCCUGGUGUAGCGGUGAAAUGCGUAGAGAUCAGGAGGAAUACCGGUGGCGAAGGCGGCCUGCUGGACGGCAUCUGACGCUGAGAGACGAAAGCUG